rnacentral:rRNA from 1 species
CGAACGGUCGCGUAACACGUAAGCAACCUGCCCGAAAGACCGGGACAACAGUUCGAAAGGGCUGCUAAUACCGGAUGUGCCCAUCUUUUCACAUGGAAGGGUGAGUAAAGCCUCGCAAGGGGGCUUUCGGAGGGGCUUGCGGCCUAUCAGGUAGUUGGUGGGGUAACGGCCUACCAAGCCAUCGACGGGUAGCUGGUCUGAGAGGAUGGUCAGCCGGACUGGGACUGAGAGACGGCCCAG